rnacentral:misc_RNA from 1 species
AACUUUCGGCAAUGGAUCUCUUGGCUCUCGCAUCGAUGAAGAACGCAGCGAAAUGCGAUAAGUAAUGUGAAUUGCAGAAUUCAUUGAAUCAUCGAAUCUUUGAACGCACCUUGCACCCUUUGGCCUUCCGAAGGGUAUGCUCGUUUGAGUGUCAUUGUACUCUCACACUCCUGAUGCUUUGGGAUUGGGAGUGCUGGCCUUGGGUGAUGCUGCUCUACUGUGGCUCACCUCAAAUGGAGUAGUGCACCUCUUGGUUGGACAUAGUACGGCGUGAUAAAUGUCUUCGCCGGCAACUCAUUAGAGGGUGGCCGAUCGGGAGCUCUGUGCAUCAAACCGUCGUCGGACAACAUCUGACAACUUCACCACAAAUCGAGUAGGACUACCCGCUGAACUUAAGCAUAUCAAUAAGCGGAGG